AUUGAACGCUGGCGGCAGGCCUAACACAUGCAAGUCGAGCGAGCGGCGGACGGGUGAGUAAUGUAUGGGGAUGUGCCCAAUAGAGGGGGAUAACUACUGGAAACAGUGGCUAAUACCGCAUACUAUCGGAUCAGCCCAUAUGGGAUUAGCUAGUAGGUGGGGUACAGGCUCACCUAGGCGACGAUCCGUAGCUGGUCUGAGAGGAUGAGCAGCCACACUGGGACGGAGACACGGCCCAGACUCCUACGGGAGGCAGCAGUGGGGAAUAUUGGACAAGGGGCGAAAGCCUGAUGCAGCCAUGCCGCGUGUAUGAAGAAGGCCUUCGGGUUGUAAAGUACUUUGAGCGGGGAAGCGUUAUCUGCAGAAGAAGCACCGGCUAACUCCGUGCCAGCAGCCGCGGUAAUAC
rnacentral:rRNA from 1 species